AAGUCGUAACAAGGUUUCCGUAGGUGAACCUGCGGAAGGAUCAUUACCGAUUUUAGCGGACCUGAUCUUUGAUCAUGGUCUCGCGAAAACUUGUAUUUAAAACCCCACUCUUAUAAAUUGAAUCAUUUUAUAUGUAUAUAAUAAAUAAAGAUCACUUUCAACAACGGAUCUCUUGGCUCUC
rnacentral:misc_RNA from 1 species